rnacentral:rRNA from 1 species
AUUGAACGCUGGCGGCAUGCCUUACACAUGCAAGUCGAACGGUAACGCGGGGCAACCUGGCGACGAGUGGCGAACGGGUGAGUAAUGCAUCGGAACGUGCCCAGUAGUGGGGGAUAGCCCGGCGAAAGCCGGAUUAAUACCGCACACGACCUACGGGUGAAAGCGGGGGACCGUAAGGCCUCGCGCUAUUGGAGCGGCCGAUGGUAGAUUAGGUUGUUGGUGGGGUAAAAGCCUACCAAGCCGACGAUCUGUAGCUGGUCUGAGAGGACGACCAGCCACACUGGGACUGAGACACGGCCCAGACUCCUACGGGAGGCAGCAGUGGGGAAUUUUGGACAAUGGGGGCAACCCUGAUCCAGCCAUGCCGCGUGCGGGAAGAAGGCCUUCGGGUUGUAAACCGCUUUUGUCAGGGAAGAAACGCUCUGGGCUAAUACCCCGGGGUAAUGACGGUACCUGAAGAAUAAGCACCGGCUAACUACGUGCCAGCCGCCGCCGUAACAC